rnacentral:sRNA from 1 species
AGUAGGGGAUUGCCGACUUCGCCACGUCCUGUGGCAAAGUCGGCAAUCGUAAUCCUGU